CCUCUCUCAUCGCCAUCAUCCAUUUGCAUCCUCGAUGUUUCCGUGCCUCCUAAGGUACUUAUCUAAAAAGUGGAGUCCCAGUCAUAGUCACAGGCUCCCCAAAACAUCUCCUACACCAAAUCACUCUUCAUUUCCACCGACACCAUGUUCGUGACACCAACACAACCAGUGCUGGUCAUGUUACAAAGAUUUUACUAAAUUUUACCCUGCUCCAAACCAAACUCUCCCUUGAAAACAUCAUUCUUUCCCACCUUCCACCUCUACAAAAGCCCGUCAAUUGGACCACAAGACAAAGAACCGUAAGAGAGCAAAAAUGGCAAGUCCCUUUUUCUCCUCUUGCUUGAGCAGCCAGUAAACGAUGAACAGAGACAGAGAUUAUGGCACAGAAAAGUAGCUAGUUUACGAGCAUGUAAAAUAAUCAAGGACAGCGUUGAAAAAUUGAUAUCAUUAAUUAAACUGCAAAGACCGAGUAUAUAUGACAUUAAAUUAACAAAAGAAAAAAAAUUAUUAUAAGAGGUCAGUUUUUUUCUGUGGUGUUUCAGUAUAGUGGACUCAAGCAGUGUGUCUCACACUAAUUUAAUCAGUUUUUUUUUUUUGUUUCAAUUUCUUUUCUUUUCUUGCUUUUUGCUGGUUGUGGCAUGAAGUUGCAAAUUUUUCUCUUCUUUUCAUGCCCGGUGUAUGGAUUAUUCACUCACCACCUUGUUAACCCUAGAAGGAAAUGGAGAGAAAUUUCCGAGCCCUUUUUCAACACUCAAGGCAAGAAACUAAGGGAGAAGAUGGGAAGGGAACUUGAGAAUAGGGGUUACGAGCCUGUCAACCCUAAAAAAGAGUAGCAAGAGAAAACGAAGGGGGGCAGAACUAACUAGAGGAAGAAGGUUGGAGAUGAGAGAGUUCGUCGGUGACUGGAACACAAAACAACGGUUACCAGGUGGGUUUGAUGAGUGGACGAAGAGGCCGGAGAAGUUGUUUACCUUGAUGCUCCAAAGCCUCGGGAUAAAGUGGAGGAUGGUGGAUGGGUGCACCAAAAAUUGAAAAUCCCAAGUGUCAUUGUAACACCCCAGGAAUAUCACUCACUUUGAAUCCUUUGAUGCAUUGCUUCAGGAUGCGGGAAACAAGAUGGGACUCUUUUAUCUGUAGAGAAAUGGAUACCCCUCUCUACAUUUUGACUCCUUUUUUGCUUCAAACUUUAUGGCUUUGAAUGACUUCAAACUCCUGUGUUUUUAUAUAAUAACUAUGAGCUUUUUGUAUUUCUUA